CUUCACCGACCCCAGCAACAGCGGCCGGCCCUCCGGACGAUCCUGACCAUAGGUCGCCAGCAGCGCCUGCGCCUC
rfam:Streptomyces cellostaticus strain DSM 40189 genomic scaffold PRJNA299219_s049, whole genome shotgun sequence.